CUUUAAGUUUCAGUCUUGCGACCGUACUCCCCAGGCGGCUAGCUUAACGGCUUCCCUGCGACACUUCAUUCGCGACUUGCGAAUGAAUCAUCUAGCUCGCAUCGUUUACGGCUGGGACUACCCGGGUAUCUAAUCCGGUUCGCUCCCCCAGCUUUCACCCCUCACCGUCGAGCGCGUUCUGGCGGACCGCCUUCGCCACUGGUGGUCUUCCGCGGAUCAAAGGAUUUUACCCCUACACGCGGAGUACCGUCCGCCUCUCCCGCCUCCUAGUCCCACAGUAUCCUCUGCAGGCCAGCCGUUGAGCGACUGGAUUUAACAGAGGACUUACGGAACCGGCUACGGGUGCUUUAGGCCCAAUAAUCGUCCCGUCCACUCGAGGAGCUGGUAUUACCGCGGCGGCUGACACCAGACUUGCCCUCCCCUUAUU
rnacentral:rRNA from 1 species